CUGAAUUGUAAUUUUAAAAUAGCUAAUUUUAUGUUAUGUGAAUUUUAUUUCAAUAAACCAUUUUUUAAAAAUUCCAGGAAAUAUUUGAGACUGGCUUGAGGCAAACUUUCUCCAGUCUCAGAAAACUAUCUCUCAUCAGAAAAUUCCACGGGAAUAUCCAAUGUAUUGUUGCCUAAUGGUUCAUAAUAAUGUAACUUCUUUCUCCAGGAACAGUUGCAUCACCUGUUCCAAUCACUUUACACCAAAUAUGACUCUAGCAAUGCCACAGGUAAUGUAAGUCAAGUUGUCAUAAGGCAAUUAUUGAUCCAGGGUUACCAAGGUAAGUUUACAACAUCACAGGUUUUAAAAAAGGACCCAACACAAAAUAUUUACAAAGAAGCUUCCCCACAAACAUAAUGAGUAUAAAGUAAAUCCCCUUCCAUGACACCAGGAUUCUGUAUCUGGCAAGUGACAACACAUGAUGGUGUGGGGGCAGGAGGGUAUGUGGGUGAGCUGGGGAAGCCAUAGGGGCAUAUCUUCCCCAAGGGUACAUUUUAUAAGCAUAAAAUUUAAAAAACAGAAAUGAAAGGAAGAAGGUUCUCUAAAUUGAUUAUUUUAUGGACCUUCUUGAGAAAAGUGAUUUGGGGCUGAUUGAUUUUAAUGACACAUUAAUCACAUAUGCUUAAUGGUAGGGUCUCAGGGUAGAGGAGACCCAUUUGGGACUGUUUUCUAAGUCUACAACCAAAUAUUUCCUGAACCUGCUCGUUCCACAGAUCCCUUUGACUCUCCUUCUGUUGCUCUCAGAAUAAAGAGAAAAGAAUGCGAAUGAAGGGAUGCCAAUUACUAAUUGAGUGGCAAGUGAUACUGACUGAAAUUGGCAGAAUGGGAUUAAUGGGAUAAAAGUACUUUUUGUUACGUGGGUGAAUCGUGUAAUGCUGAAGUCAAUGCUUUUAGUGUACCUGUCACCAGAAUAGUAUACAUUAUGCCUGAUAGUACUCCAUGGUGUAUACCAUGUUUUCUUUAUCCACUCAUCCGUUGAAGCCGUUAUUCCACCUGUGCAUGGAAGAUCUCCACACUACCUGUGUGUCAGGAUUUCUACUAUGCAGUAUAGCCUAUUAAACUUGGCAUGAAGACACUGAAGACAAAGGCUGUGAGAAUUUAACAGUAAGGAAGAGUUUUGCUGCCACCUAAUGG